rnacentral:rRNA from 1 species
CAAUAGCGUAUAUUAAAGUUGUUGCAGUUAAAAAGCUCGUAGUUGGAUUUCUGGACGGAGCGACCGGUCCGCUGCUGUGCAGUGUGUACUUGUGUCUGACUCUGUUCAUCCUUGCAGGGAAGCGCAUUUCGGCAUUCAGUUGUCGAGGCGGGGAACUGCAUCUUUUACUGUGAAAAAAUUAGAGUGUUUAAAGCAGGCAUUUUGCUGUGAAUACAUUAGCAUGGAAUAAUAAUAUAGGACCUUGUUUCUAUUUUGUUGGUUGGAGAACUAGGUAAUGAUUAAUAGGGACAGUUGGGGGUAUUCAUAUUUAAUUGUCAGAGGUGAAAUUCUUGGAUUUAUGAAAGAUGAACUCAUGCGAAAGCAUUUACCAAGGAUGUUUUCAUUAA